rfam:Danio rerio chromosome 23, GRCz11 reference primary assembly.
GUGGGAUACGGCGACAUGCACCCGGUCACCAUAGGGGGCAAAAUCGUCGGCUCCCUGUGCGCGAUCGCAGGUGUGUUAACUAUCGCUCUGCCCGUGCCUGUCAUCGUGUCAAAC